GACGAACGCUGGCGGCGUGCUUAACACAUGCAAGUCGAACGGUGAACCGGGCUUCGGCCCGGGGGAUCAGUGGCGAACGGGUGCGUAACACGUGGGCAACCUGCCUCAGACACUGGGAUAACCCCGGGAAACCGGGGCUAAUACCGGAUACUCCGACCGGACUGCAUGAUCCGGCCGGGAAAGCUCCGACGGUCUGAGAUGGGCCCGCGGCCUAUCAGCUUGUUGGUGGGGUAACGGCCACCAAGGCGACGACGGGAGCUGGUCUGAGAGGACGACCAGCCACACUGGAACUGAGACACGGUCCAGACUCCUACGGGAGGCAGCAGUGGGGAAUCUUGCGCAAUGGGCGAAAGCCUGACGCAGCGACGCCGCGUGGGGAUGAAGGCCCUCGGGUUGUAAACCCCUUUCGGCAGGGACGAAGCGAACGUGACGGUACCUGCAGAAG
rnacentral:rRNA from 1 species